AGCAGCUGUGAGCUUGCCAAAGUGGGAAACCCCCCCCAUUUUGGGGGAAUUCUCCCAGCUUUGCUGCCUUUCGCCACCACGGAGAGAAGAGCUGUGCAGUCAGCAGUGUGGCUUUGGGGCUCACCAGCGAUGCCAAAUGAACAGCAUCUCUUUCAGAAGCACGAGGCUGCCAGGACAGCAGUGAGACAGCACAAUUUCUUUCAAUCUCAUUCAAUUAAAAGCUAAAGCAACUCCUUUCCUAGAAUAAAUAGCAUCGUCUUUGUAGAACUGUAAGUCAAUUUUGCUUCCUUUACACCUACGUCCCUGAAAAAAAGAGAUGUACGUGCAGACAUAGAGAGAUCUUCUCCAUCCAGAAGCUGUCCGUGGCUCAGGGUUGGUCGGGACACCAGGAGAAUCUACCAGCUUCUGAAGGAAUGGAGUCAGAGUUCACUUAUUUGGUUUGAUUUUUUGGCAUUCUUAGCAACGGAGACGUUAAGACAUCCCAAACCACCUCGGAUUGAGAAAGGAGAGCGACUUUGUUUACAUAAAGUCAUCGGAAUCAUUGCCAUCCUGAUUGGAGGACAUGUUCUCAGCCUUCAUUAACGAUGAGUAGCUCCUAAGUUCUUCCAGCUCUUUCUUCUUCUUCAUCUCUUCCUUUUCCUUCCGCUUCAUCUCCUGGAUUUGAGCUUUCUUCUCAUUCCUCUCCUCUCUGUCACGGGCUUCCUUCUCAGCAGCCAGGUCUGGGAAACGCUCCACUUUUGUCUUCUCUAAUCGGUUCAGUAUCUCAUUUACCUUCUUCUCCACCGUCAGCAUUUUCACAUCCUUCUGCCUGUGAAACCCUAUCUGCCCCACAUCCAUGUCCGCAGUCUUCUUCAGGUUGGUCCAUGGUGUGUACACCACGUUGACAUUGUUCAUCUUGCAACCUAGGGAGCAGAGGAGAAAGGAAGGAAACAUUUCUAUUCUCUCCCUGCUGAAAGACUUCAGUGCAAAUGCAAAC
rnacentral:lncRNA from 1 species